rnacentral:lncRNA from 1 species
GUACUUUCUGCUGAAUAGAAUUUCUUUCUUUAAAAGAGUUGUCUUUUGCAUGGAUCUUCUUCUUGCUGCUUUGUGCAAGAAGUUACAUUCCCUUCCAAUUAUCUUCACUUAGAAAAUCCCGAUCUAUGAAAGACUUGCAUUUAUUUCAUUGCUUUUGCCUUCAGUUGCAGUAUUGCAGCUUUAUAGCAGCACAAAUAGAGGGAGACCUGCAUCUGAAUUUCAUCAAGCACUUGGGGGUUGGAUUCUUUCUUAGAUGACAUAACAGCAGCCUACUGAAAGCAGAUAGCUACUCCAGACUCUAUGCUCUUUGCUUGUGAUGACAUUUUUCUUCAUUCUUCUAGGCCCUGUUUUCAACCAGGUAAGCAUCCCUGUCUCUCAAGGAAAUUAAAAUAAAAUUUUAUUUUAUUUUAUUUUUUUAUUUUAA